UUCCUGCCGCAAGCCCGCCGUCUCGGCGUU
rnacentral:sRNA from 1 species